rnacentral:rRNA from 1 species
UACGAAUGGGGCAAGCGUUUUUCGGAAUCACUGGGCGUAAAGCGUACGUAGGCGGUUAUGCAAGUCAGAAGUGAAAUCCCAGGGCUCAACCUUGGAAUUGCUUUUGAAACUGCAUAGCUAGAGUCCCGGAGAGGUUGGCGGAAUUCCGAGUGUAGAGGUGAAAUUCGCAGAUAUUCGGAGGAACACCAGUGGCGUAGGCGGCCAACUGGACGGGAACUGACGCUGAGGUACGAAAGCGUGGGGAGCAAACAGG